UAUAUUUUUUUUUAUUAUUUUCUUUUGCGUUUAAUGGGUAGCGUUAACUGACGCUUGAUGCAACUGGUAAACGAAUUUCACUUUUCGGCUAACCUGCUAUGCGCAGGGAUACUAGCACGGGAGAGGAUUAAAGCUGGGUACAAUGAAUAUUUUUCCUCGUUGAACGGAUUUUUAUUUCGACGUAGAAUUGCUUAGGUUAUUGUAUAUAUAUUUUAUUAGCUGGAUAUUUAUAUUUUAGCGUUGCUGGAUUGGAUAGGAACGUAAGAUUUUUCGUUGUUUUAUAUAAAUUUAUUUUUACGUUUGACUUCUUCUUCUUUUUUAAUUUCGCUGUAGUAGUUUGCCGUUAGAACCGAAACUCAAUUCAUUUACUACGAUGGAUUCUGUUACCACGAUUUUCUUGCCUUUUGAGUUUAAUAAUCGAGGAUGAUUCUAACGAUCCUCUCUGCGUGGAACUCGUGUGAUUUCGCAAGCCUUGCCCAAAGACGGGUAAUAUUUUACCAACAGUGGGAGGAGGAAGGCGAAGAUCGAUGGGUGUUUUCGAUAAUCGAGAACACCGUUUGCACAAGCCAACGCAGCGAACGAUCUUUUGGUUAAUUUCCCGAAGGGGGGAUUGUUUUGUUAUAUCUUUCUUAUAAUCGCAUGCAAGAAUGGCAAGAAUAUCGGUUAAUAGCAAUACCGGUAUCGUUCUUGAUUUUCAAUUGACCCCGACGAUAUAUUUAUUAGUCCUUUCUGAGCGGGACUUGUGUGAUUUCGCAAGCCUUGCCCAAAGAUGGGUAAUAUUUUACCAACAAUGGGAGGAGGAAUGCGAAGAUCAGUGGGUGUUUCAGUAGCUGAAAACACCGUUCGCACAAACCGACACAACGGACAACUCCUUUGUUUAAAAUUUAAGCAAUGUUUCUAUCUUAAAAACCGUAAAUGAAAUCGAUGAUAGGAGGUUUUGAUUCAAUUCUCGAGGACAACGAGAUUGCCAGAGAAGAAGAAAGUUUUUUAAAUUUAAUUUGCUUACCUUGAGGAAAAGGUGCUAUCGGGUGCCAUCACUCCAGCUGUCCCGGUGAUCGUCGAAGGUUGUUGGGUUUAUUAUUUAAUCUCGAAUAUAGUUUUCUAUCAACCUUUACUUUAUUAAACUAUUUCGAUACAAAUUGAGUGACUUGCUAACUGAAUUGAUAUCGUAAUGAAGACUUAAAAUUUUACUUUAUUUAAUCGCGACUCUCUUUUCUUUAUCGAAAAACUAAAGACCCCGAAACGCAAAAUACUUAUACAAAUUUCUAGACGCAAAGAAUAAUGAGCCGUAGUAACAAACGAUCGCAAACUAAUGAACGAAUAAUGAACUGAAGAACGAAAAAAGAAUUAAAGAACGAAUAAUGCACGAAUAAAGAACGCCGCGCUAUGUUGCAUCGCUUAUUUAUAAUGCCAUCCCCCACGGGGUGGUAGUCCGCUGGGGGUACGCUUCCGUGGGAAUCGGGAUGUUGCAGUUUGGGCUUCUUGGAAUCGUACGUGACAAAAUGUAAAUUCCAUAUUUCGACUUAGUUUUUUAUCAGUCCUGUGUUUCCGCUGAGCUAGCGUCUAGGAGAUUUGAAGCAUUCCACGCUGAUCUAGUCCUUUCCGCGAGAAACUUCCACGUGCUGUACCGUGGGAAUUACCGGUGUUUCUUCGGCGCGUGGAAGGGCUGGUGGCUGCAGCAUCAUUAUCAUUUUAAAGUUUGCUCGGGCAACACGCGCAACUCCGCUGCUCUCCCAUAACAAAGACCUCCUCCUUCGAAUUGUUUUGCGUAAGUUUGGAUGUUUGCAUAUUAAGAUUGUUUUGUGAUUUUGAUUGUUUUUCCCUUUUUUGCUAUUUCCUUAGGCUUCGGUGAUCGACGUUCGAACCAUGUUUGCUGAGUCGUUUCUAUCAGAGGUUCCUUUCCAGACUUCCCUGCCCAAGCGAAAGAGGGAUUCCGAAGAGCCCAUGGGCGACUCGGGGGAACCCAUCAAGCGCAUGCGGCCUUGUGAUGGACCACGAGUGUCGGGGAGUUUGGAGGAACUGUUUUACAUUGGUGCCGAGGCUGUGUCGAAAUUGGGUUUUGACGAUUUGGUUACUUUCGACGAGAAUUUCUUUGAUGCGGAGACCGUCAUAUUGGAGAGGGAACCCCCUCUGGUUGAAAUCGUCGAUACCGAGCGUUGCGUGAAAGUUCGUUUUGCGAAUGAAAUUCCCGAAGAGGUUUUGGAGGCGCAUCUUCGUCACCAUGCUUCUGGGAGAAAGGGAAUUUCCCCUGUUGUGCGCUAUUGGUGUAUGUGUGAGUUCAGCGAACUUUAUCCCGGAGCUCCUUGCUUCGAUUUUGAUUUAUUGUAGCUGCCUCAAUUUUGUUGGUUCGCUGUUUUGAUGUUCCUUAUUAUUAUUAAUUUUGUGUUCAAUAUGUGUAUAUAUAUAUAUAUAUAUAUAUAUUUUAGUCUGAUAGUGUUAGGUUAUCUAUUUUACAUUUGUUAAUUUUUUAAUUUUUAUAUUUCCCCCCUUUUAUUUAAAUAUAUAUAUAUAUUUUUUUAUAUUUGUAGUUGCCCAUAAAAUUUAUUAAAGAAAAGUGUUAACAAUGUG